UACGUAGGGUGCAAGCGUUAAUCGGAAUUACUGGGCGUAAAGCGUGCGCAGGCGGUUUUGUAAGUCUGUCGUGAAAUCCCCGGGCUCAGCCUGGGAAUUGCGAUGGAGACUGCAAGGCUAGAAUCUGGCAGAGGGGGGUAGAAUUCCACGUGUAGCAGUGAAAUGCGUAGAGAUGUGGAGGAACACCGAUGGCGAAGGCAGCCCCCUGGGUCAAGAUUGACGCUCAUGCACGAAAGGCGUGGGGAGCAAACAGG
rnacentral:rRNA from 1 species